GUUCCCUAUGAUGAUUUUUAUAUAAUGCUAAUGUAUAUCUGAUAAAUUUUUUUGAUGAUAAAAUGAUUUGCUGAGGGAACU
rfam:Capsella rubella cultivar Monte Gargano unplaced genomic scaffold scaffold_2, whole genome shotgun sequence.